UACGUAGGGCGCAAGCGUUAUCCGGAAUUAUUGGGCGUAAAGAGCUCGUAGGCGGUUUGUCGCGUCUGCCGUGAAAGUCCGGGGCUCAACUCCGGAUCUGCGGUGGGUACGGGCAGACUAGAGUGAUGUAGGGGAGACUGGAAUUCCUGGUGUAGCGGUGAAAUGCGCAGAUAUCAGGAGGAACACCGAUAGCGAAGGCAGCUUACUACAGGAUGAUUGACGCUGAGGCACGAAAGCGUGGGGAGCAAACAGG
rnacentral:rRNA from 1 species